rnacentral:tRNA from 1 species
GGAGAGAUGGCUGAGUUGGUUGAAGGCGCUCGACUCGAAAUCGAGUGUGUCGUGAUGAGCGGCACCGCGGGUUCGAAUCCCGCUCUCUCCG